AUUGAACGCUGGCGGCAUGCUUUACACAUGCAAGUCGAACGGCAGCACGGACUUCGGUCUGGUGGCGAGUGGCGAACGGGUGAGUAAUACAUCGGAACGUGCCCAGUUGUGGGGGAUAACUACUCGAAAGAGUAGCUAAUACCGCAUGAGAACUGAGGUUGAAAGCAGGGGAUCGUAAGACCUUGCGCAACUGGAGCGGCCGAUGGCAGAUUAGGUAGUUGGUGGGAUAAAAGCUUACCAAGCCGACGAUCUGUAGAUGGUCUGAGAGGACGACCAGCCACACUGGGAAUGAGACACGGCCCAGACUCCUACGGGAGGCAGCAGUGGGGAAUUUUGGAAAAUGGGCGAAAGCCUGAUCCAGCAAUGCCGCGUGCAGGAUGAAGGCCUUCGGGUUGUAAACUGCUUUUGUACGGAACGAAAAGCUUCGGGCUAAUACCCUGGAGUCAUGACGGUACCGUAAGAAUAAGCACCGGCUAACUACGUGCCAGCAGCCGCCGUAACAC
rnacentral:rRNA from 1 species